UCUGCAUCCAUAUUUGAAGUGCAUUGUUUAAUAGUCUGCAAAGAAAAAGACACGAAAUUUUUAAGGCACAAAUGUAGUUCUAGCAGAGAGAAGCCACUGUGAAAUGUUACUAAAGCUACAAUGACUAUGAAAGGGAAGGGUGAAUUUCAAAGGGGAAGGUUUUUGCAAGUUUGAACUUGCACAAAAACACCCCUCACCUGUCUGACCAAUGAGAGGGCUGCUCUUUUGUUACAUCAUGCUUUACAUGCACGGUGUAGCUUAUGUGUUGAAACCAGAGUUUAAAAAUUACUAACUGACAAUUCAACAAAUUAACACUCAAUUUUGCAAGCUGCUCCUCUGUCAUGCUGCUGCAUGAUGUUUUGAUUUUUAGUAUAACUUUGUGCU
rnacentral:lncRNA from 1 species